CGAGUGGUAAACCGUUAUUAUUGGGUCUAAAAGGGUCUGUAGCCGGCCGGAUAAGUCUCUUGAGAAAUCUGGCAGCUUAACUGUCAGGCUUUCAGGAGAUACUGUCUGGCUCGAGGCCGGGAGAGGUGAGAGGUACUUCAGGGGUAGGGGUGAAAUCUUGUAAUCCUUGAAGGACCACCAGUGGCGAAGGCGUCUCACCAGAACGGACCUGACGGCAAGGGACGAAAGCUAGGGGCACGAACCGGAUUAGAUACCCGGGUAGUCCUAGCCGUAAACGAUACUCGCUAGGUGUCGGCCACGGUGCGACCGUUGUCGGUGCCGUAGGGAAGCCGUGAAGCGAGCCACCUGGGAAGUACGGCCGCAAGGCUGAAACUUAAAGGAAUUGGCGGGGGAGCACCACAACGGGUGGAGCUUGCGGUUUAAUUGGAUUCAACGCCGGAAAUCUUACCGGGACCGACAGCAAUAUGAAGGCCAGGCUGAAGACUUUGCCGGAUUAGCUGAGAGGUGGUGCAUGGCCGUCGUCAGUUCGUACUGUGAAGCAUCCUGUUAAGUCAGGUAACGAGCGAGACCCNNNNNNNNAUNNCNNNNNNNNNNNNNUNUCCGGUUGAUCCUGCCAGAGGUUACUGCUAUCGAGGUUCGACUAAGCCAUGCGAGUCGAAUGUAGCAAUACAUGGCGAACUGCUCAGUAACACGUGGACAACCUGCCCUUAGGACGGGGAUAAACCCGGGAAACUGGGUAUAAUACCCGAUAGGUCUCGACUGCUGGAAUGCAUCGAGAUUGAAAGCUCCGGCGCCUAAGGAUGGGUCUGCGGCCUAUCAGGUAGUAGUGGGUGUAGCGUACCUACUAGCCUACGACGGGUACGGGUUGUGAGAGCAAGAGCCCGGAGACGGAUUCUGAGACACGAAUCCAGGCCCUACGGGGUGCAGCAGGCGCGAAAACUUUACAAUGCUGGCAACAGCGAUAAGGGAACCUCGAGUGCCAGGUUACAAAUCUGGCUGUCGAGAUGCCUAAAAAGCAUUUCAUAGCAAGGGCCGAGCAAGACCGGUGCC
rnacentral:rRNA from 1 species